GGUAGCCUGGCCGAGCGGUCCAAGGCGCUGGUUUAAGGCACCAGUCUCUUCGGGAGCAUGGGUUCGAAUCCCAUCGCGGCCU
rnacentral:tRNA from 1 species